UACGAAGGGGGCUAGCGUUGCUCGGAAUCACUGGGCGUAAAGGGUGCGUAGGCGGGUCGUUUAAGUCAGGGGUGAAAUCCUGGAGCCUCAACUCCAGAACUGCCUUUGAUACUGAAGAUCUUGAGUUCGGGAGAGGUGAGUGGAACUGCGAGUGUAGAGGUGAAAUUCGUAGAUAUUCGCGAAGAACACCAGUGGCGAAGGCGGCUCACUGGCCCGAUACUGACGCUGAGGCACGAAAGCGUGGGAGCAAA
rnacentral:rRNA from 1 species